CACGUAGGGGGCGAGCGUUGUCCGGAUUUAUUGGGCGUAAAGAGCUCGUAGGCGGUUCGCUAAGUCGGGUGUGAAACCUCCAGGCUCAACCUGGAGACGCCACCUGAUACUGGUGUGACUAGAGUCCGGUAGGGGAGUGUGGAACUCCUGGUGUAGCGGUGAAAUGCGCAGAUAUCAGGAAGAACACCAGCGGCGAAGGCGGCACUCUGGGCCUUACCUGACACUGAGGAGCGAAAGCGUGGGGAGCGAACAGG
rnacentral:rRNA from 1 species